GUGAUAAUAGCAUAGUGGUGUGAGUGCUGGACUCUGACUCUGGAAACCAGGGUUCAAUUCCCUGCUUGCCAUG